ACAGAACUUUCCACAGUAUCCUGAUGUCAAUGAGAGUGUGUUCCCUGCAUUUUCAUUCUGGAAAACCAGCAAAUGAAAUGUACACCUCGCAUCCGGAUUGGGCACCAUCACUACACUUGGGCCACACUGAGAUAAAGGCCACACAGACUGCACGCUAUGAGAGACAGGAAAAGAGAAAACGGCAAAGGACUGACAGUACACCUGCGAUGGAUGAGACAGCUAUUGAUGACCUUGUUCCGCCCGUGGAGACACCAGCACCAGCUGAGGAUGGAGCUGAGCAGACAGCGCCGGCGUGCUGAAAUCAACCGGCUGCUGGAGGAGAACAGGACCCUGAAACGUCUUGCACUCUCAGCGCAUUAAUGAGACUCCCCUGAAGCCAUGGGUCAUCAUUGCUGACGAUGGGCAGGUUUGCUGUGCACACUGUACAUGCAUGGCUGGAAUUGCAGAGGCAUGUACACAUGUUGGGGCUCUGCUGUUUAUGAUUGAGGCAGCAGUCCGCAUCCGUGGGAAAAAGACUGUGACAGAUGUGCCAGCUUAUUGGAAAAUACCAGCAGGUAUCAACAAAGUCAGCGGUGAAGUCGCCCACAAGAUGGACUUCACUUCAUCCAAAGCGCAGAGGAUUGCUCUGGACAGAGUCAUCGAUGACAACAUUCCCAUGCCUGGCCUACGGACACGGGCCAGCAGACGCACUGCCCAAGCCACAUUGGACGACUUAUCGUCAAUGUUCCCUGUUCUUCAGAACCAUAGGUCAGUUUGUAUGUCCACAGUGAAGCCCUACUUUCACAACUAUGCUGCUCCUGUCCAGCCAGCUGUGAUCCCAAAACCCCUGCAAGACCGUCUGCGCGACCCAAAGUUUGAAAAUGCUCCACCAGCUGUCCUUCUCCAGCACUGUGAGACAGUGAAAGACAUUGCAGCUGCAUAUUAUUGCACGUCGUUAUAUUACAAUACAAUUAUAGAUUAUAUUAUUGUAUAUCAUGACAUAUUGCAUCGCAGCCUUUAUUUAUACAAUUUAAGAAAUGCAUAUUGUUAAAAGUAAUUAUAUAAGACAUUGCACUAACAUUGUUUUUUAAUGUGUACUAUAGUACCGGUAAUAAUUUGCACUACUUCAAAUGUUAUUGAUAUCUGUUAUUACUUAAUUUGAUCUACCUCCAAUUUUUAUGUUUGUAAUUGAUGUUUCAUAAAUACGUAUUUUUUAUUACUUUGGAAUUUUUUUUAUACAUAGACAUUUUUUAUAAAAAGCAUAGUAUUUUGUAUUAUUACAU